GGUCCCAUCGUCUAGCGGUUAGGAUAACGGCCUCUCACGCCGUAGACACGGGUUCGAUUCCCGUUGGGACUACCA
rnacentral:tRNA from 1 species